AUCGCUUCUCGCUUCUUUUGCUAAGAUCAAAGUGUAUAUCUGUUCUUUUCAGCUUAAUAUCUGAAGUUCCCGCAAUGCGGGACCAGUAUAGUUAAACUGAUUUUUGUAAACUGAUGGGAUGUUCGGGGCUCGCUCCCACUCUAGAGGUGAGUCGUACUCGCUAAAACGCGUACUGAGUGUUUACGAUACGAGUA
rnacentral:snRNA from 1 species